UACGAAGGGGGCUAGCGUUGCUCGGAAUCACUGGGCGUAAAGCGCACGUAGGCGGACUCUUAAGUCGGUGGUGAAAUCCUGGAGCUCAACUCCAGAACUGCCUUCGAUACUGAGAGUCUCGAGUCCGGGAGAGGUGAGUGGAACUGCGAGUGUAGAGGUGAAAUUCGUAGAUAUUCGCAAGAACACCAGUGGCGAAGGCGGCUCACUGGCCCGGUACUGACGCUGAGGUGCGAAAGCGUGGGGGAGCAAACAGGAU
rnacentral:rRNA from 1 species